rnacentral:rRNA from 1 species
GGUUGACCUCGGAUCAGGUAGGGAUACCCGCUGAACUUAAGCAUAUCAAUAAGCGGAGGAAAAGAAACCAACCGGGAUUGCCUCAGUAACGGCGAGUGAAGCGGCAAGAGCUCAAAUUUGAAAUCUGGCCCCCCCGGGGGUCCGAGUU